UGGACACUUCCGAGGCCCAGCCGCGUCCGCCUCGGUGCUGUGGACCAGAGGGCCCCUCUCAUCCAGCACGUGUGUGGCUUUGUUGCCUGUCAGCCUGUGGGGACCAAGCCAGGAGCACAAACAGCUCAGGGGCACCCAGCAGUCACUCCCAGACCACAGGUGUACCCUCAUGAAGGAAGUCACAUCCCUGUGUGCCCCUGCCCCUGUGGUGUCCUUGACUCUGAUCCGGUGUCUGGCUGAUGUCAGUGACCUGGCUCAUGAGCGGUGGAGAAAUUGAAAGUGCCAUGGGUCUCAGGAACAAGAUUUGUGUGAGAUAAGAAAGAAGAGGCCUCAGGACUUGGGGUGCAUUCCCAUCUUUGACCAGAAGUUCAGAGCAUCAGGACAGAGAGAAGUCACAGAGAGAGCAGAUUUCCCAGGACUGGGGAAGAUGAUCAAGUCACAGGUAAGUUGUUUGUCCUUCAGUCAUUUUAUCUGUGGAUGUGAUGAGGCUUCCAGGAAUUUCUACAACCAACAGAAAAGGUUUAAAUACAUUUAA
ensembl:lncRNA